GUUAGACUAACCAGCUCUCUAAUUGUGGAUACAUUUAGGAAUGCCCUGGUCUGGACAGAGUGUGAGAAAUGCACAGUGGGAUUUAACACACUAAUAUCUAUUAAGCCAGGAGUAUAGGACUGGGUGACAGAAGCUUUGGGAAAUACUGAAGGGUUUGAAAGUACGAGAAACCAAGAAGCAGACAGUUACACACGUGGGGUGGGAUUUGUGUGUGCUGAGGCAAUGCCCUGAGAGUCUGGGCACCGGGAGAGGAGGAAGGGGAAGUGUUCGGGGAACCUGACCGGGGCCAGGUGCCCAGAAAAAUAGGAGUCGUGCUAGGCAGGGCUGGGGAAUGUGAAGGUCAGAGCUUGUGAUGUGGGGAUUACACACUGCUUUGAAUUUGAGAUGUCUAGGAGAAAUCCAUCCGUGAGCCUAGGUCCAGGGUGCUGGCUAAGAUCUCAGGGGAAGCCGGAACACCAAGGGGAAGUUUGACUGGAAUCAAGGGGGUGGAUGUUGGGGCCCAUGGCAGGAUUGAAUAGCCCCAAAACUGUGGCCGGAGGCAGGAACAGGACACCUGGGAAGCCAGCGUAGAUGUCUGCCUGCCCCGGGAGGCACCUGGGGUCUCCACCCAGGAAAGAGGUUUUGUUCUCUGGCUGGCUGAGUAGGGACAUACUGAAGAGACCAGGAGGCACCGGUGACAGUUCUGCUCGCACCAACUGGAAGGUUGGCCCCACUCCUAGCUCAGUGUUACUGGAUGAUGGGGACAGAGCCUCAGGCAGUGCCAGAAACCAAAGCAUCUUCCUCAUGCGUCUGGAAAACUCCACUCUGGAGUCUCUGGAGGUGUUUGGAGGCUAGGUAAUCAGGGGAGUCUCUCAGAAUCUGAGAAGACAGGGCUUGUCAUACCAAAACUCCAGUCAAUACAACCCAAAAGUAAGUAAAUCUGCUUAAAAUGAGAAGCAUACUUUCAUAGUAAAUAAUGAAACAAAGGCUUGAUCGGGGCUUUGCUUGCUAUGAUGUUAAGUAUUACAUAAAUAAAUAAGUUUAAUCUUAUUUUCAGCACAAUAUACGAUUAAUGUUCCUGGCCUGAGUCUGCUGGCCCCACGAGAUGUCUCCUUUGGGCCUGACUGUCACAGUGAGGUCACAGAGUUGUCCAGUGGACUAAAUCCUCCAGUUCCUUGUUUGUCAGUGGCUUUCCAUGUGAUUCCUGGAACCUUCUGGCAUCACUUACACGGACUUCAUGAAAUUAAACGUUUUUUUGGCGA